GGCUGUGCAGUAGCUCAGUGAUUGUAUCGAUGCUGCUGCUGACUGGGAGCUGCGCCGCCAUGUUACUGUCAGGCCUGUUCCGUUCUGCAGUCUCACACUCGGUGAGACAGAUUCGUCAUGUACAAAGGACAGCUCAAUGUGCAGGAGGAAGUGGUGCGGCCUCAUUUGUGCAUAGGGAUACUCCUGAUAACAAUCCAGACACACCAUUUGAUUUCACACCAGAAAAUUAUAAGGUAA